CCUUUCGGGGAUAGUGGCGCACGGGUGCGUAACGCGUGGGAAUCUGCCCUUGGGUUCGGAAUAACUUCGGGAAACUGAAGCUAAUACCGGAUGAUGACGUAAGUCCAAAGAUUUAUCGCCCAGGGAUGAGCCCGCGUAGGAUUAGCUAGUUGGUGGGGUAAAGGCCUACCAAGGCGACGAUCCUUAGCUGGUCUGAGAGGAUGAUCAGCCACACUGGGACUGAGACACGGCCCAGACUCCUACGGGAGGCAGCAGUAGGGAAUAUUGGACAAUGGGCGAAAGCCUGAUCCAGCAAUGCCGCGUGAGUGAUGAAGGCCUUAGGGUUGUAAAGCUCUUUUACCCGAGAUGAUAAUGACAGUAUCGGGAGAAUAAGCUCCGGCUAACUCCGUGCCAGCAGCCGCGGUAAUACGGAGGG
rnacentral:rRNA from 1 species